rnacentral:lncRNA from 1 species
AAUAAAAUUAAAGGGAAAACAAAAGAAAAUAUGCAUUAAGUGCAAAAUUGAUUUUUAAAAAAUGCAAAAAAUGGUAUGAGGUAGAAAAUAUUUUAUGGAAUUAUUGAAAAGAAUUAGAUUAAAAAAAUAUAAAAGGACCUAUUUAACAUUAAUUUAGGAAGAAAAGGAAAUAAAAUGAAAUAAAAAAAGAAAUAAAACAUUUGAAUGAAACUGAAAGGUUGGGUGGCGCGUUCUGAUUGG